CUCUAAGGAAAGCCGACUGCCUGAGGAUAAUAUGAGCUUGGCGGCAGUGAUCCAGAUGUGGCGAUCGGUGGGGAUAUUUUCUCUGGCUUUAUUCAAGACACGACGGGCGUUCUCAUAGGUUUCCAGACGGGCCAGAGCCAGCCAUAGCUGAAGAAAACCAAAAUGCACUAAGAAACCAUGACCUUACCCUUCCUGAGGACUCGCUUCUUGGCUCUGAUGUCUGUCUCAAGCUCAGCUGCUCUAAUGUAGAUGCGGACCGACUGCGGUAGAUGGCGGACAGCCUGAGCAACCACGGCUUUAGCUGUGUCACCAGGUUGGAGCCUCGCAGCCUCCAGCCACACGUCUUCACUCUGGGUGUUUAGAGAAGAAGCUGUCAGGGACGGGGGUCAGCUUCUCAUGCCGGGGAUUCCUCUGACGCUUGUUCCGUGCAUCUCCGACUUCAGGGAUGCUCAGCCACUCCUCCUCUGACACUUCUGCCAGCUUCCUCUAUAAAUGAUUAGGAAAAAUUAAUAAAGGUUCUUCCUGGAAACUCAUCCUCUCCUGCAUUCAAGAAAAAAAGUCACCCAAACAACUGCGACAAUAGAGCAGCUGUUUUUUUAUGAGUUUUUUUUUCUCCAAACUAACACU